rfam:Massilia sp. JS1662 GAT82, whole genome shotgun sequence.
GGAGAGGUGGCAGAGUGGUCGAAUGUACCUGACUCGAAAUCAGGCGUACGGGUGACCGUACCGUGGGUUCGAAUCCCACCCUCUCCG